GCCACCCAGGCACCCCAGGAAACGUCAUUCUUUCGGGUCACAGUUAUUAAGCAGUUGCUGGUACGGCUGUAGUUCUGACCUGCUCAGCCUCCCAUCCUCCCCCGCUGGUCACGGCACCUCGAUUUUCCUUUGUGGGGGCCUAACCCUCCUUCACCCUCAGGCCGUGCAAGGUCUGGAUGGCACCCACUCCUCCUCAUUCCCUGCUGCCGGGGCAAUUCUUGACUUCCACGUUCCAUCCCCAGAUUACAAGGAUUCAGCCAGGGGCUAGUUGGCACGUGACCCAAGCAAGGCAAAGGAGAUGUGGCCCUGCCACCACUCAUGAAUUGUGAAAGAAAAACUCGUUCUUUCUGUUGGGCCUAAAGACAUGUGCAUGGGGCUUCUGGGGUUGCAGGGAGACCACCCGUCAGAGUGUGAAACCCAGGAGGUGGGGUGGAUGGAAAGGAGCCAGAAGAGGAGGCAGAUUCUUGAUGACGGGCGUCACUUCCAAGGCUGGAUCGAGCCCUAACUGAACUCAUGACUUCCCAUCCUGGGUUUCUCUGUUAUGCAAGACAAAUUCUGCCCUUUGCUCAAGGCGGUUAGGGUUGGCCUCGUGGUUGCUUGAACUUCCCUGUCUCCUGACUGCCAACGAGAUCUUUCUUCCAAGUAUGUCCCACCUUCUCUCCACCACACCAAGCUACUCUCCCCUCAACUCUGGAUGGGUUAAACUUAGAUUGGUCUAAACUACAAACUACUGAGCUUCUCCAGGGAUGCCCACCUGGCCUGUCAUGUGACAAACACUCAAGAUUCAGCCAGUCACACUUCUUUUAUUCUCCAAAAAUAACUGAAGUUUGCCUUCAGAUGCCACGUAACAAAUUACCCAGAAACCCAGUGUCACCCUCUAGGUGCACUCCCUCCCUCUCUCUCUCUCUCUCUCUCUCCCCCUGGAUUGUCUGUGAGUGCUGGGACGUGGCAGGAAAGCAUCCUGGAUGAGGGGCGACUGAACUGAGUUUUGAAGAGUGAGUUUGUGUUAUUCUAUCAAAGAGAACAGGAGGAGUGCCUGCCGGGGGAACUCUCCACCUGUGUGAAGGCAAAAACACAUGAGAGAGCAAGGCAGAGGGCUUGGAGUUUUAUAUGGGACACAGGGAGCACCAGUGAUGUUUGUAAAAGACGUUCCACUGAAAUAGCCAUUGGAGAGAGAAAAGCGUGCAUAUACAUGCACCGCGGGAUGGAUUUUCACCGAGAGGACGCAUCCGUGUCACCUGCAUACAGAUCCAGAAGCGGAGCACGAUGAGGAAACUGAGGCACAGAGAUCCUGAAGAUUGAACAUCAGGUCAUAAUAAUCGGGACCCUGCGUUGGGUGCUUUUUAGGCCCAGACACUGCGCUUUGCUGAGCGUCUUCUCGCCGGGGACCCCUGUGGAGCGGAGCUGAAUUGGAGGUGAAGCUUAAUGGAGUAAAGCGAACACGAGGAGGAAAUCAAAAGUUCCAGGAGACAAGUUCCACCAAACUGGAGCAGACUGCUUCCAGCAGAAGCAAAAGCAACUCAUUUCCGGAGUCAAGAAAGAGGAAAGCAAGUGGAAACUUCCAGCGUUGGGGCCUCGAUGAAUGUUCAAUGCAAAGUGCCCUGUUCUGUUAGGUGGAGACAGCCGUGUAGCUUCUACCUCAUUCUCUCCCACACAUAUGCCCCACCCUGGCCCCUACCCACCAGAGACAGAACUUCCUGGUGGGGGGAAUAGGGUUUCUUGGAAUCCUCACUCCCAGAGGAGAGGGUGUAGACCCAGCUGAAGAGAGAAGCUGAGAGUUUAUCCAAGCCCAGAGAGGCAAACCCGUGCCUCUAGAGGACAGGCAGGUGCAGCUGGAAGGGAACAAGUUAGUUAGGAGGCCACGGCGGCCAACCGUUGUCUGGCCCUGCUUCUCUGCCUGCCUGCCCGCCCCAACACCUGUCCUGAAGUGAUACGAUUUGUGAAACAAGGCCCCUGCCAAUCCUCUGGACAAAGUCAACAACUAGUGUUGAUUCUGCUGAUUCUAAAAAGUAAUGGUUGCUGUUAUCCUAAUAAUACAAUGUAAUGGGACGUUGAGCUUAUUUUUAGGCAGAAUUCACACGGAUUUUAGAGCAUCAUAGGGUCUGAAGGGGACACUUCUCUUACAUUUUCCUAGAGUUUAAAGGGAAAUUAGGGGCACGUGGGUAGCUCAGUCCAUUAAACAUCCAACUCUUGAUUUCGGCUCAGCUCAUGAUCUCCCCUUGGUAAGUUAAAUUCAUCAGCAGAGAUGGCCAAUGCGGGCACUUACCAAGGACUCUGGGGGCAAUCCUUCCAAACACGUGGGAUUGUUUCAAGGGCAAAGGUAACAGCUCAGCAGAGAAGUGGCUUCUGUUUCCUACCUUGAAACCCCACCCAGUGAGGCCAGCCCAAGGAUGUGACUAGUGCCUUCCCAACACUAGGAAUCUGAGGACAACUGGGUGUGCCCUUGACUCUUACACGUUCAGGCCGACAACAUCGGGCAGGUCGCUUUGGCUCUCCAGGCCUCGGUGGCCUAAUCUGCAAAAGGGAAAUAACCACGCUUUCCGAUGCUGUUAGGUGAGCCCAUGGAUGGCAAAUGUGGGGCACUGUAGCAUCUGGCGCUACGAGGCGCUUCACAUACACUGGGAGCGGCUGCUAAAGCCACUGGGACCAUGAAGCCACACUGUGCAUGUGCAGCGAGGGCAGCCCAGGGAUAGAGGCAGCAAGAAGGGCUUGCGCAUCGGCUCCGGGGACCCUGAAGCGACUCCCACCUCUGAGAACCGUCAGUGGGCGUCUGCCACCCCCGUUCCUUCCCCUUCAGCCUUCCUCAAGCUUCCAGAAUUCCCUCCUAGGCUCGCACCCCACCUCCACGCAGCCCACGCUUGGGGGACGGGUGACUCCACCCCCUUGCUCCAGGGGUAGGCCCUGAUUGGCUUACAGGGAGCAGAGGUUUCCACACAAGCCAGUCAUUGGUUCGCAGGCGAGCAUGUGACCCGGGGGGGCCAAUCAGGGCGCAUCUUGUUUUGUCCUGUGCUUGCCUUCUGGGGAAAGAGCCUACGUGCGGAAGGGUGGACCUGCUGGGGUGCGGCCGGCCUUGCAGAGGUUUUGCUGAGCGCGCAGAGCUGAGAAACCGCAAACACUUGCGUACCGGUGGCGUUGUGAAGCUUCUGGAUGAUCCACCUGGAGGCUUGAGCUUACCGGCGCUUUCUGCGUGCGUGAUACCGAUCCCCUCCAUUGCGCCAGCCAGUUCAAGUGGCCUUUCUCCAUGACUCGUAACUGGAAACAUGCCGUCGCGCGGAACUUUUAUAAGAAGCAAUCGUCUGCUUUCACGUCUGCGUUCACGGCUUCUCACCAGCGUGUAGGACACCUCAGGCACUUAAUCGUUGCUUGUUGAAUCCAUCGGACAUGACUUACCCCGUGGAACUUGGCGGUCUCUGUGAGAAAUGAGGAGACACGUGGUUUUGAAUCCAAAUAGGAUGUUGAGACAAGCUGAGACCAAGUCCCAGCGCUAGUCCUACGAGCCGUCAAGGUUGUCAUCCUUAAUCCUCCUUGAAGUGACCGUAUAAUGCUGUUGUGAGUGACAACCCCGUAUGAACCAGCUGGGCCUCGGGGAAAGAUUCACGGAGAGGAGGGGAGGGUGUCUCCUUAAAAGGAACCGUCUGCUGGGGAAGUCGGGGUUCACCUGUGAGCUAAGGGGGCACCACAGGCAGCCACUGCCUGCAUCCACUUUGUUGAUGAACGUCCACAGGGGACGUGCUGCCGUAACUGCGUAAUCCAGAAGAAGGCCCUGGCCCAGGAGGGACAGGAAUCAGACCUGCGUCUGUCUCACACAGACACUGUGCUUCCAGCCGGCAGAUUCGGGGACUGUAACGUGCACCCAUAAGUAUUGUACCCGGGGGACAGUCGCGUUGAUCAUGGAUUACAUCCCUCUGUUGUUGUAACUUGCUUACUUAAAAAACCAUGACUGGGGACUUAAGGGACUUAACCAUGACUGUGGAAAGCCCGGGGCCUGAUGCUAAGUGCUAUAGGCCAGUCCACACACUUCCCUGGACAGAGGCCCAGAGCAGCCGUCAGAUGGGCCAAGGGGCUGGGGCCCGAAGAAGUCAAAGAGCCUCUGUGCCUUACAAUUUGGAGGCCAAGCUUAUUUCUUCCAUAGACUUCUGGAGGCGGGUAGGGAUGGAACUGAUUAGAGACGUUUGUCACAAAGGCUUGUCUGAGCCCUAAGUGACUUGUGAAGAUCUUAGAUUUUGCAUAAACCGGCUUUUGUUUGGCUCAGGAAACAUCUUGACAUGGACACCUAAUCAGGGCCCCUCAGGGGUUGAGGAAGGCCAGAACCCCGCUCCCUAUUUGAAAUAAAAAUUUCGUCUUUAAAAGCCAAAGGGGAACGUGAAAAUUAUGGUUGGUUUUCGGUGUGGGGUUUCAUAAAGUAGUACUUUUCACGUAAAGUUCAGUGAUCAUUCAUCUAAGUUCAGGAGUCUGGGUUGGAGGAAUUGACGAAUGAAUGGCGGCGGGGGGUGGGGCAGAUCACCUUCCCGCCCUUCUCCCCCCUCUGUAACGGGUGCCAAGGGGCGGAAUUGUGUGAAUUGUACAGACGCAGGUGCUGAAUUCGAGCAGAGAGAACAAAGCAUCCAGCAUCCCUCCAGUUCCCGGAGAAGGUGGCGGAAACAAGGCCCCCCCCACUUCAACUAAGCAGGUUCCUCUGCGUGGUGGGCGGAGGCUUUGGGGCCAGGGCAGGGAACGGAGAACCGGGCCAAGGAAAUUUCUCACCCAAGCUGAAUUCUUGACCAUCCGGCCUCAGGGCUUGGGGUGAGGUUAACCCUGAGCACCACCCCACUCAAAGGAUGCACUGAGUUCAUUCUAAAAACAGAAGAAAUGAUUUUGAGUUCCCAGCCUUUGGGUAACAAUGAGAAGAGUUAGGACUUUGGAGUUGGUUUCAAUUUUACCCCCGUGGGGCUGUGUGGCUUUGGGCUAACCUCUUUGAACUUCUGGUUCUUUACCUUUCAGGUUGGUUUGAAAAUUACCUCUCUCCAGGCAGCCAUAGGAGAAAGUGGGGUCCAUUCGGCCGACACUGAGGGUGGGCGCCUGAGUACUGGGGGCCUGUCUGCUCGACACUUGGGGUGUGGGGACUUGAGGGUGCCAGUCCUGGCCUCAGGGUCGUGGUGUGGUGUGUGCAGGAUAAGGCAUUGGGCUUCCUAGAGAGAUCGGUGCAGGGGUUGGGGAACCCAGGGCAGGCUGCCGGUCCCACUGCCCGUGGCUCAGAGAGAGGGGUCCUGGGAGCCAACAGUACAGUGCUAACAGCAGGGCAGACCAACACCUGGGGAGCGGGUACUGUUCACCAUUUUGUCUUUGCAACAGCCCUGUGACUGAGGUGCCGUAGCCCCAUUCAGCAGGAAACUGAGGCACACGCCAGCUUGGAUCAUGCCGGAAGCCCUGUUGACAGCCAGUGGCAAGGUGGGGUCUCAUGCCUGACCCCACAGACCUCAGAACUGACUGUUAGAGUGGGGAAAAGAGCUCGUGCUGGGGCAGGGUGUGACAUGGGAGGUGUCCGAACAGUCGCCCAUGGACGGGUGUGACUGGCCAGAGACAGGAUGCUAGAAAACAGUGGGUGAUCCUGAAAGUCCUUUUUAGGGAAUGGAGGGGAAGCAGUGGUCACAGACAAGGGUAAGUUUUGAUCCGGUUUAUACGGUUUAUUUAUUUUUUUUAUUUAAAAAAUUUU